rnacentral:rRNA from 1 species
UGCAAGUCGCACGAGAACGCUUCAGCUUGCUGAAGUAAGUAAAGUGGCGCACGGGUGAGUAACGCGUGGGUAAUCUACCCUCAAAUUGGGGAUAACCCGCCGAAAGGCGGGCUAAUACCGAAUGACAUCUUGAAAACUUAUGUUUUCAGGAUCAAAGGUGGCCUCUACAUGUAAGCUAUUGUUUGGGGAUGAGCCCGCGUACCAUUAGCUUGUUGGUAGGGUAAUGGCCUACCAAGGCUACGAUGGUUAGCUGGUCUGAGAGGAUGAUCAGCCACACUGGAACUGACACACGGUCCAGACUCCUACGGGAGGCAGCAGUGAGGAAUUUUGCGCAAUGGGGGAAACCCUGACGCAGCAACGCCGCGUGAGUGAUGAAGGCUUUCGGGUCGUAAAGCUCUGUCAAGUGGGAAGAACCCAUAUGGUGUUAAUACCGCCAUAUGCUGACGGUACCACUGAAGGAAGCACCGGCUAACUCCGUGCCAGCAGCCGCGGUAAUACGGGGGGUGCGAGCGUUAUUCGGAAUUACUGGGCGUAAAGAGCGCGUAGGCGGUCUUUUAAGUCAGGUGUGAAAGCCCGGGGCUCAACCCCGGAAGUGCACUUGAAACUAAGAGACUUGAGUAUGGGAGAGGGAAGUGGAAUUCCUGGUGUAGCGGUGAAAUGCGUAGAUAUCAGGAGGAACAUCAGUGGCGAAGGCGACUUCCUGGACCAAUACUGACGCUGA